GACGAACGCUGGCGGCGUGCUUAACACAUGCAAGUCGAGCGGUAAGGCCCUUCGGGGUACACGAGCGGCGAACGGGUGAGUAACACGUGGGUGACCUGCCUCUAGCUCUGGGAUAAGCCUGGGAAACUGGGUCUAAUACCGGAUAUGACUCCACGGCGCAUGUUGUGGGGUGGAAAGCCUUGUGUGGCUAGAGAUGGGCCCGCGG
rnacentral:rRNA from 1 species